CGGCGGGCUGGCUCACGGAUGCAUCUGUUCCCGGCACGGAAGCCGGCUCUCCGGAGCUGGCACUGGUACUGAUACUGGUGCUGCCGC
rnacentral:tRNA from 1 species